rnacentral:rRNA from 1 species
AUGAGUGAUUCAUGCGAGAUAGGUGAUUCAAAUAUUGCGUCUGAUGCCGCGGAACAGGAUGCAGACGAGGAGGGCGAGGGAGUAACCAAUGCAAAUCAAUCUUCUUGGACCAUGAGGGUCAAAGUUGGGAAGGCAACGGAUGAGAGGGAACCGAGCCCUUCAAGGAUGCCUGCCCUUGAAGCUUGUGUCCGUGCAUAUGUCGAUAAAAUAUCAGGAAAUGUUGUCAAUCCAUCGAUUGGGACUAAUUUUGAUUCUGUUGAAAAAGGCUAUGAGUUCUACAAUAUGUAUUCCUGGGAGGUUGGUUUUGGUGUCCGCUAUGCCAAAAGCCAUCUGAAUGUACACCGGAAAACAUCCCAAUUGAGGUACAUGCAUCUCAGGUUUUGUGACGCCCGGAUAAUUAAGCCACAGUAA